AAAUUCCUCCACAACUGCUUCUUCCCCCUCCUUGGCAGGAAAACUAAUACUACUACUGCAGUACUACUAUUAUAACAUUAAAUAAUGAACCAUUUGGAUGACCUUUUGUGAGGCCCCAAAUCAUCCGCCUGAGGCAAUGGUUUCACUCUAAUGGUGGGGCCGGUCCCACUCUUCAUACCGUUCCCAGCAAAAGGAACCCCGCAAGGCAGAGAUGAGGAUGAAGCGUAGAAGCAACACACUUCCUUCCUGACUCUUGGUGGCACCAGAAGGAAAACCCCGGGGGCACAGAAGGGGGAAAGUAUAUUUCUAGGUGGGCAAGUUGUGUCACAUAUGUUAAGAUGGGGGGGGGGGGAUUUGAUGACUGCAGUCCAGCAAUGUGUAUGUUCCCGACCCUGAUUUAGUUUGAGGGUUUCAUAGUAUUGUAGAGUUGGAAGGGAUGUUGAGGACGAUCUAGUCCAAUCCCCUGCAAGGCAGGAAUUUCAACUAGAUCAUACAUGACAUCUUCAACCUCAGCUUAAAACCCUCCAAGCAAGGAGAGUGCAUCACCUCUCGUGGGAGUUCCAAUGUCAGAAGGUUCCAUUUCUUAUACAUGCCCUUCUUACAUCUCAGCUCAUCUGUAAGCUCCAUAGGCAGCCACACCGGUUUCUUUAAGUGCUUCCCACUUUUCUUGUUGGAAUUGUCUGCCGUUGUGCCUUCAAUAUUUCAACUUAAAGACUCUCCCAUCAUAGCUGUCAACUUUCCUCUUUUCUUGCGAGGAAUCCUAUUCAGGAUAAGGGAAUUUCCCUUAAAAAAACGGAAACGUUGACAGCUAUGACUCCCAUCCAUCUUGCACUCCCUUCUCUUUUGAGUUUUUCUGACCAUGGGAUUUCACUCAGUAGUUCCUUAAGCUUUUUGAAAUCAGCCUUCUUAAAGUCAAGAGUGCACAUCCGACUACAUUCAGCUUUCCUUUGCCUGUGUGUAAUGAAACCCAAGAGGACAUGUUCACUUCCUCCCAAGGUUCCCUGUACUUUCACUUUGUUGAUCAGUUUCUCCCUCUUGGUAAGGAUCAGGUCUGAGAGAGAUGCCUCCUGCCCUGUUGCUUCUUCUACCUUUGACCUGCCCUCUUGAUAACAAAACUAAAUUUUAUGGCUCUUUGGAAAGCAAUAAAAAAAUUGAAAUGUAGAGUUUGCAUCGGUUCUUUGGACUUUAAAUGCUUAAACACCCUGUGCAGCUUUCCUUAUCAAAUGUGCAAACCCUACACAACUUUGAGGAGGGCAGGGGAGACAGGAUAUUCUGAUCAUGGAUCCCUCCCAUCACUGGUAACUUGGUUCUGAGAUCAUUUAAUUAGAGAUACCAGGUAUUCAACCUGCAACAGUUUGCAUGCAAAACUUGUUUACCACUAGCCCAUGAAGACCUCAUCCUAUAAAUGCUAUCAGCUAUAAAACAUUUUGCCCCCACCCAGCCAAAGCUCCAUAACUGGCUUUCCAAAGAUUUCAAUAUUUCAGAUAUUGACUUUCCAAUCAAACUUUUUUUAGCAGACAGCCAAUGUGUAUUACAAAGUAUAAUGGGAAUCAAUAUUAAUACUUACAUAUUUUAUAGAGAGGAUAACUAUAUUUUAGCUGAGAAGUGAAUUAUGAAGAUAGCUAUUGUCCUGACCAAAUCUACAUCUUCUCUUGGAGCAAUUUAACCUAUUUCUACUGCACCAUUUGCACUUGACAUAAAUCACUUGCACACUAGGAGUAGGUGCUAAGUUCAGUGGAAGUUGAGGGCACUUAGGAGAUCAAAUUAUAAGGCCCAUCAAUUGCUAUCUAAUCUUGAGUCAAAGUUCAUGAAAACUGCAGUGAAAGAGGCCCAGCACAAAGUUUAAUUAAUGAUUAGAUCAGUUCGCUUCAGCACUCAGAGGGAGCAUGCUGUUAAUUAUAUGGGUGUAAUGAUUUUACAGUAUGUAGCAGGGGGUGGAAUGAAUCUAUGCUCCACUUCUAGCAGUUACUGGAGAGACACUGAUUCAACAAAACACGAAAUGGAACACGGAACAAAAGUGACAGGUUUGAUGCCAGCCAGCAUUUUAGAAAUAUUGCCACAUAUGUGUAAGAAAAUGGGAUUGUCUAUUAAUUUUGACAUGGUCUUCAUGUUCCAAUAAUAGGUGCAUUGGAUCAGAGUUUGUGUGUUUAUAGAUUAAAAUCAAGUUCAAAAGUAUAAAUAGAGUAAUAAAACACCUCAAAGCCAGUAACACAGAGCAGAAUGCAAUACACCAGUAGCUUUCAAGGGUCUCUCUGUGACUAAUUAGCUAAGUCACCAGACAGCAGCAGCUAAAAACAAUGAGGACCAGGGGGACUUCCCUUGGUAGGUUGUUCUAGAUUAGGUGUAGCCAACAUGGUGCCCUCCAGUUUUUGCUGGACAACAGCUUCAGUAAGCUCAACCAGCCUGACCAAUAAGGAUGAUGGAUGCUAUUGUCUAGUAAUAUCUAGAAGGCAUCACAUUGGCUGUUCUAGAUCAAUAGUAACCAAUCUUUUCAUAUUAAGGAUCCAAGCCCAAAUUUGCAUUUGGGGAUCCACUUUUUCAUUUUGAUAUAUUUGUAAGACUGUAGUAUUGUUGCUGUGAUUCACCUUAGGUCAGGCUGUGGCUUUCCUGUGAAUAAGUACCACUGAAAUCAAAUGGGCUUACCUCUGAGCAGACAUGCCAAAUAUUUUACUGUUAACUGUGCUAUAAACCUUCAGGAAUGCAACCCAGAUAAUUGGGGGGUCUAAAAUUCCUAUUAGGACAACAUUAUGUUAACAAAAAUAAUGUGCAAGCUUUCAACUUCUCUAGAUCUCUUCAUCAAGCUAAAUGAUAAACAGAGUGUGGAGAGGAGAAACAUUAGCUGAUGGUUUGUAUAUGGAAUGUAGGAGGAGAUAGCAGACAUUCAAGUGAGGCAAUAUUAGGUGCUAUGCAGAUUUCACAUUCACCUAGCGCUGCAGGGAAGAAACAUACAAUGAUAGAUUCCUCAUAUUUUAAAACAUAGAAUCCAGUUGUUACCACAGUCUAUCUCAGUUUGUCUGAAGUAUAUUAUAUCAUCUUGCUAACUAUUGGGGCUGGGGAGUGUUUUUUUUUCAGGAUUCUGUCUUCUGGAAAGCAGCAGGAAAAACAGCAUGUGUGUGGGUGGGUGUUUGAAAGAGUAGGUGGCAGCUAGUGAGAGUCCCCUCCAUGUGGCGAUUAUAUUUUUCUUGAUUUAACUGCAUCUUGGCACAGCCUGGCUGACAGGUUUGAAGGGCAACCUGGUCAUCACACACAUUUAUGUAAGCAGAUGCUGAGUUGCAUCUUUUGUCCGGAUGGGUGAGUCACACACAGAAAGGCAUCACCCCCAUUACAAGCUAUACUUUUAGGGGUUAUAAACAAAGAUUUCGAAGUUUGCAGUAAAUACUUUUUGAUUUUCCUUCAAUAUUACUUCUCUUUCCUAGGUAUGCCAGCAUCUCGCAAAUUCAGGCAGUUGCCUAGGGACCACAAUUUUAUUAAGGAUUUCUCUUUGAACUGAAUCUUCAACUUGCUGAGAUCUUACCCAUCCUCUCUGCUGCUCUUCCAGAACUUUGGAGACUGGUAGGGCAAAUGAAUCCAGGAGCUCAGAAGUAAGUGGUAUGCUUUUGCUGAUCAUUAAACAAGUCUCUUGAAUUGUAGGUGGUGGUGAGGAGCAGAAACUGCCCUUGAUUUCCCUGGAGACUCCCAGAAACAUAUUGCCAGCCCAUUAUUACAUUACUUUGUAUAGAGGUUUUACAUAUACAGAGGGCUUUACAGUUCAUACCUGAUAUGUAAGAAUUCCACUUCUGCAAAUGCUUGUAGUAAUUCAUGGCAAAUAGGCAUUAUGUUUACAGGGAGGUAGGCUUCUCUCCCCCUGCUCUUCAUCCUUUCUUUAUGUUUGUACCAGUUACAAGACAGAACAGGAGACCAGUUUAAAUAAAAGAAAAUAAAUCAGGGGAUACAAUACUGAGGGUGAUCACUGUGGAAUAUAGGAGAGAGAACCUGAUAUGUGAUUGGCAAAUGGGAAGUGGCUUCAUGCCAGGUGGAUGCGAGUUCAAAGAGAUGAGCGCCAGUGGCAAAGCUGGGCCUGGAUUAGAACAUGACAGGAAACAGGUGUUAGGAAUGAACUAGUCCAGAAGCACAGAGUACUUGCUGAGACCUCUGGUCAAUUGGCUGGAAGCCAUCUCCCUGCUCAGACAUUUCCUGCUUCAUGCUGAGCUACUCUGCCCACCAACAGAGGUACAUGAAACCCCAGCUAACAAUUGAAAUGACAGAAAUCCGCUUGUUUUCCAUAUAAAUCCACUAUAGGCAGGGCUGUGUAAUCACAGUAUGAAAGCACAGAAGAAACAGGUUUGGAGCACAGAAUUCAGUAUCUUAAGAAUCACACACUUACUCUUUCUAAAAAACAAAAAUUAAUAUUCCAGUCCUUAUAUCUGUGAAGACAGAAUGAAAAUGUUCAGCCUUCCCCCACCAUUACCCCAUAUUGAAGGAGAGGUAGGAGGAGGCAGCUGAGUAGGAUUCUCAAUGGGCAGUGGAUGGGUGACAAUGCAUAGUUCUUUGCUGCUCUCUAUGACUAGCCAAAACUAAUUUAUAUAUGUGCCUAGGGUUAUUCACAUGCUUAUGUUGUUUGGAGCUUGGAGCAGUUCAGCUUGGAGCAGAACUUUGAAUAUGUCUGUGUGUAAUUUUGAUUUGUUAAGUGUGGUGAAUACGAAGCUUAAGCUACAGGAAAUCAGCAGGAAGCCUAAGUAUGUAUGCAAGGACAUUCUGAGGCCUUCGCUCAUAUUUAUACCUGACAAAUCUUCUCAGGCACAUUUAUCUCAAUAAUGCAUCUAGACGGCAUUGGUUUUCUAUAUUUCCAUUAUCCAACAGGCUCUGUCUCUCUGUCUUCACCCACACCCACACACCCUGUCAUGGAAGUGCUGUCAUUCCAGCAUAAAGCCUAACUUUAUGUAGAUUAGCACUAUUUAUUUAUUUAUUUAUUUAAAUUACAUUUUUAUUUAGUUUUCAUUCAGUUACACAUUUUUAACAAUCUUUACAUUACAUUCAAGUUAUAACCAUUUUCAAUAUCGUAUUUUUUCCUACCCCUGUGACUUCCCUCUACCAUAUUGCAGCUUCUUCUACUUACAUUUAUUUUUCCAUUGUGUUGUGAAUAUUAUUUUCAUUUUCCCCCAUAAAAUGAAUGGCUUAUCUAUCCAUAUUUUAGCUUUGCAAAAUUUAAUAUGUGUAUUUAUUUACUAAGUUAAACAUCUCUAAAAACAAGUAUCCACAGAAAUAAAAAACAAUGUUCAUUUAAUCAAAACCUUAAAAAUGCCAUCCACCCAUCAACUAUGCUGCUGUAUGUGUAUCUUUGCCCCCCACCCCCGCUUGUCUGUUGAUUUGUCCAAUCUCUGUGCCAGACUAUUUUAUAAUCAUCCUUCCUAGCCAAAACGUCUUGAGUAGCACAGAUCUUGAACACCACAGUGGACAAAGAAUCAUUUGUCCACAGUGGCUUCCUGUAGGUUAUUUUAGUGGAUUUAUCACCCUGAACUAAGCCCAGGCCAUCUGUUACAUCCUCUAAUUACAAAUGCAGAAAGAGGUAAUUCACAAAGGCAUCAUAAAGAAAGUAAAAUAUAAAUGAUUUAAUGGCAAGCGUAUGUUAUGUUUCAUGCACCAAUCAGGCGUAAAUGACUUUUAAAAAAUCAAGAUCUUCCUAACAGGGCAGGGAUGGGAUGCACACCAAAGGAAUGCUUUUCCUCAAAUCACCCAGUCUUCUGGGGUGUCAUCCAUCCAAAAAUGACAUAUCUGAUUAAUUAAAACAUACACAAGAUUAUGUUGUUGCUGAUUUAUUAGUGGAGUUCAAGCUCUUUCAUUAACGCAACAUUUUUUCUUUCCUCCUCCUGGGUCUUUUUCCCAGGAGGACAGAUUGGGAAGGGGGAGCACAAAAAUGCAAGGAGUAUUUAUGGCUCAAGCACACAGUGAUAUUUUAAAGCCCCAUUUUCAAAUCACUUUGAACUGACAAUAUUUGAUCAAAUAGAGAUUGCAGUAUUUUAGAAAGGAUAUGAGAUUCCCAUUUACAUUUCAAUAUUUUUUUUCUCAGUUCUGUGGGUUGAUUAAGACUCUCAUGAAUUUUUAAUCCAACUGCUUGUCCUGACUCUCUCUUGAGAUUCCAUUAUUGAGAACGUUGAUACAUCUGGAGAAGUAAAGCUUAGGGAGUAAACACUCAUUUCAUGAAGGGUGAAUUUUAUCAACGUGUCUAAGAGUGGGUUGGAAAAAUCCUGGUUCCACAAUUUGUCUUAGCCACAAGAGGAUUGGGCCAGCCACUGUUCAUUCAUUCCCUCUAUUUCUUUCUUCUCCCCUCUUAAGUGUUAUAUUUGCCCUGACCACUUUUUAAGCAAUACCCUGGGGAUGUAAGUGCUUAAGUGUAAGCCAAGGAUCUCCUCCUGCUCCUAAGAUGUCACUCAGCAGGUCCAGUAAAUGCCAUCCCUUACAGCAUGGGUGGGGUAUUUGGUUUUCCAUUAUGAGGUCCCGUUGACUUACAGACAACCAGGGGCUAUUUCUGAGCCAGAGCAAGUGGUGGGUGGAGGUUGUAGUACUGCAGGACUCUCUCUCUCUCUCUCUCUCUCUCUCUCUCUCUCUCCCUCUCCCUAUGCCAGUCAAUCUCUCUGUGUUGCAUGAAAUUAGGUUCCCCACCCCAGUACUACAGAUUUCCCAAAGCCCAAGUGUAGGUGUCUUCCAGGGGAAGUGAGAACCUCAGUGCACAGAAUCAUCCACAGACUAGCAGGUCCUCUGCACAUGUUUACUCGUGUUAGCCACUCUGAGACCUUGGCAUGGGGCGGAAUAUAAAUAAGAUAAAAUAAAUAAAAUAAAGCAAGGAAAAAAUGAUUGAUUUGUUUUGUGCUAUGUGGUUGGGUGAAUAUUAUCCAUAACAGCCAGUAGGGAUGGGUGAAUCUCAACUUUGGUUUCUUGUUCUUCCACUCUUAAAGUUAACUUCUUCACAUUUCCACAUCAGUUUGUGAAUUUUUAGAAAACAAGUCCUUAUAAAAAAAAUCAGCAGCAGUGUGAAUUUCUUCUGAUAUACAUAUUUGCAUACAAUUUACCCAAAGAUAACACAUUUUUGUAUGUUAUUUUUACCAAUAUGCAUUUUUAUGCACACUUUACUUGGUAUAUGCAUUGAAAUUAGCAACGUUACAUUGCUAAUUUCAAAGGAUGGCUAUGUUUCAGUUCACACAUUGUUUUAGAAAGUGCAAAUUAGGUAGGUGCCCCUACAAAUGUGAACUGAAUCAAAUUUGUCCCCCCAUCCCUAGAGCUAGUGACCAAAAUCCAUGCAGUCAAACCAGUUUUUACGCCCAUGGAUCUACCCCACUCCGAGCUAAAGAUGGAGUUUCUGAACUGAUAGUUUGGUGUGAACUAUCUAUUAGGCACUAUUCACACUGUCCCUGCUUUAGGGUUAUAAGCAGAUUUAAGGGUGCUGCUGGAUGCCAAGAUACAGCCAAGGUUCAUGUGUUGGGGCAGCCAUGCUUAUUUUAUGAAUUUGUCUGCCCCAUUCACAUAUAAAAUGGUAUGAGUGUGGGUCUAUUUGUUAAAAUAUGAAAAAAAGCACAGGGUGGGGGAGCAAACCCUCCCCUCCUAUACUUAACUGGGCUCUACCAUCCCCCUGCCCCAGUUAGCUAACUUGCAUUACCGGAACUAUGCUGGGAUAAAAGUACAUCAAGCAGCAGAACACAGCUGACUAAAACGGAUGUGUGGGGAUAGUUUCACUUCUAUGCCUUGCAUGCUCCAUAGGCUCUCCCUUUUACACAUGAACAGGGAAGACAUGUGAACACUCACGGCUGCCCCAUCACAUCUAGUUUGGCUCUAGGAUUGUCUAUUUAUUUAUUAUACUUCAGUUUUAUGUCAUUAUCGUUGAUGGAAAUUGCAAAAAAAAAAAAUGGAAAGAGAACAGGUAUAUUAAUAUACAGUGCUACCUCUGGAUGUGAAUGGGAUCCGUUC
rnacentral:lncRNA from 1 species